rnacentral:rRNA from 1 species
CCUACGGGGGGCUGCAGUGGGGAAUAUUGCACAAUGGGCGCAAGCCUGAUGCAGCCAUGCCGCGUGUGUGAAGAAGGCCUUCGGGUUGUAAAGCACUUUCAGCGGGGAGGAAGGCGUUAAGGUUAAUAACCUUGGCGAUUGACGUUACCCGCAGAAGAAGCACCGGCUAACUCCGUGCCAGCAGCCGCGGUAAUACGGAGGGUGCAAGCGUUAAUCGGAAUUACUGGGCGUGAAGCGCACGCAGGCGGUCUGUCAAGUCGGAUGUGAAAUCCCCGGGCUCAACCUGGGAACUGCAUUCGAAACUGGGAGGCUAGAGUCUUGUAGAGGGGGGUAUAAUUCCAGGUGUAGCGGUGAAAUGCGUAGAGAUCUGGAGGAAUACCGGUGGCGAAGGCGGCCCCCUGGACAAAGACUGACGCUCAGGUGCGAAAGCGUGGGGAGCAAACAGGAUUAGAUACCCGGGUAGUC